CAUUAACUGUGACCCAUUCCUGUUACAAGGCUACUCAAACAAUUUGUCACAAUGUCCGGAAAUUGGAAUAUAUGACGUAUUUAAUUACUUGGUGUCGUUCAGGCCCGAUUAUGACAGAAGGAAGCUUCGCGCCUACAAGUCUUUUCAAGACUAUCGCUUGUUUGCUGAUGGGCAUGUCAACAGUGUGGAGUAUGCUGAUGCUACUGACACAAUUGGAAUUUUUAAAGCGUCUGUGAAGCCAACACAACGGGACAAGACCUACCUAAAGUCCGAGUUCUACAACCUAUGGAUUGCUGUGGAAAAAAAUAAUGUUGACAUUAAGAGCGCUUACUGUCAGUGUCCAGGAGGAUCUGAUGGAGCCUGCAGACAUAUAGCAGCAACACUUUUUGACAUUGAAGCUUUUGAGAAAAAGAGCGUCACUGAUGGCCCAUCCCUAUGGACCAAGCGACCAAGAAGUCAUGAUGAGCCUGUGCCACUGCGUCACCUAAAAGUCAAGAAAAUCAGCUAUGGACAAACA